GGAAGAUCAAGGAGCUGGUGGGUUCAGUGUCUGACACCAGGUCUCACUGUGUUGCCCAGACUGGCAGGCUGGCACGAUCAUGGCUCACUGCGCACUGACGUCCUGGCCUCAUGGAAUCCUCUCACCUCAGCCUUGUGCUUUCCUUUAUAUGUAAGGAUGUCACCACACAGCAUGCUUAAUUAUCUACUUAUUGCUGUUGGCUUUUAUUUGGGGUUUAGGGAGUAGAUCAAUCAAUCACAUUCUGUAGAUUAAGUUUUGGUUUUCUGUUGUUGGAUAUUUGUUCUUUGGGGUCUUUGUAUUUGUUUAUUUCCA
rnacentral:lncRNA from 1 species